rnacentral:rRNA from 1 species
AUUGAACGCUGGCGGCAUGCCUAACACAUGCAAGUCGAACGGGGCAGCAAUGCCUAGUGGCGGACGGGUGAGGAAUACGUAGGAAUCGGCCCUUAAGUGGGGGAUAACCAGGGGAAACCCUGACUAAUACCGCAUGACCUACUCGGAGCACAGAGGGGGACCGCAAGGCCUCUCGCUUCCGGGUGAGCCUACGUCCGAUUAGCUAGUUGGUAUGGUAAAGGUCUGCCAAGGCGACGAUCAGUAACUGGGCAGAGAGGAUGAUCAGUCACACAGGAACGAAGACACGGUCCGGACUCAUACGGGAGGCAGCAGUGGGUAAUAUUGGACAAUGGGCGCAAGCCUGAUCCAGCAAUGCCGCGUGUGUGAAGAAGGCCUUCGGGUUGUAAAGCACUUUAGCCUGGAAAGAAAAAACUUUGGUUAACACCCAAAGUCUUGACGGUACCAGGAGAAUAAGCACCGGCUAACUCUGUGCCAGCCGCCGCAGUAA